rnacentral:snRNA from 1 species
GUGCUUGCUUGGGCAGCACAUAUACUAAAAUUGGAAUGAUACAGAGAUUAGCGUGGCCCCUGCACAAGGAUGAUAUGCAAAUUGGUGAAGCAGUUCAUAUUUGG